rnacentral:rRNA from 1 species
AUUGAACGCUGGCGGCAGGCCUAACACAUGCAAGUCGAACGGUAACAGGAAGACGCUUGCUUCUUUGCUGACGAGUGGCGGACGGGUGAGUAAUGUCUGGGAAACUGCCUGAUGGAGGGGGAUAACUACUGGAAACGGUAGCUAAUACCGCAUAACGUCUCAAGACCAAAGAGGGGGACCUUCGGGCCUCUUGCCAUCGGAUGUGCCCAGAUGGGAUUAGCUAGUAGGUGGGGUAACGGCUCACCUAGGCGACGAUCCCUAGCUGGUCUGAGAGGAUGACCAGCCACACUGGAACUGAGACACGGUCCAGACUCCUACGGGAGGCAGCAGUGGGGAAUAUUGCACAAUGGGCGCAAGCCUGAUGCAGCCAUGCCGCGUGUAUGAAGAAGGCCUUCGGGUUGUAAAGUACUUUCAGCGGGGAGGAAGGGAGUAAAGUUAAUACCUUUGCUCAUUGACGUUACCCGCAGAAGAAGCACCGGCUAACUCCGUG